rnacentral:lncRNA from 1 species
GGAGGAAGUUGCUCAGGGAAGGGAUCUUUUAUCUUGCUAUAAAAGUUCUGGACAAGGGUCUGGGUGCUUUAACAUGGAAGCAGUAAGACAAUGAGGCCUGGAGGAAGAUUUCUGUUUUAGAGAUAGGGUCUCGCUCUGUCACCCAGGGUUUAUCUCCAGCCCAGUACAGCCACUAUUGUGCAUCCUUUCAAGGGACAUCAGGGCAGCAGCACAGCUUACCCUGGGGUCCCCCUGGGCACCCCAGCAUAAGCAGUGAUGUGCCAGACAGC